rnacentral:rRNA from 1 species
UACGUAGGGUGCAAGCGUUGUCCGGAAUUAUUGGGCGUAAAGAGCUCGUAGGCGGCUUGUCGCGUCGGCUGUGAAAACCUGGGGCUCAACCCCGGGCCUGCAGCCGAUACGGGCAAGCUAGAAUUCGGUAGGGGAGACUGGAAUUCCUGGUGUAGCGGUGAAAUGCAUUGAGAUCGGAAAGAACACCAACGGCGAAAGCACUCUGCUGGGCCGACACUGACACUGAGGCGCGACAGCGUGGGGAGCAAACAGG